rnacentral:lncRNA from 1 species
CUGGCAUGUGGAAAAACUUAAUUUUCUUUUCUGUUUUAUCUUUUAGCCUACUUUAUUUAAACAUAGGGUCUUUUCAUUACAGAUAAUUAACUUUGUACUGGGUAAGUUAUUUUUAUUGAUUUCUAUCUUUAAACAUGUAGGUUAAAAUGUACUUUUUAUAAUUUAGUGAUUUAAAAUUUAUUGAACUAUCCAAAAUGAUCUACCAAUUUCAUGUAAUCCUUUUCAAAAUCCUAAUAAUUUGUUUACAGAAAGAAGAAAAAACAUUAAAGUUUGUAUGGAACAACAAAGGACCCACAAAAGCAUAAGCAAUCUUGAGCAAGAACAAGCUGGACAUAUGUAAUACUUCACAACAUAAUUAGAAAUUUAUAGUAAUGAAAAUAAACCCAGGUAUAUAGACCAAUACAACAGAAAUGAAUCCAUAUGAACAAUUGAUCACUGGAAAGGGUACCAAGAGUAUACAAUAAGAAAUAGUCUUUUCAAUAAAUGGUGCUGGAAAAAAUUGGAUUUCCACAUGAAAAGGAAUGAACUUGGAUACAUACCACACUAUAAAACAACUCAAAGCAAAAUAUAAUUAAGAUGAGUCUGCACAUAUCAUGGAAGAUGGGAUUCAGAGAGUAAAGAAAGAAUCUGAGAAGGGAGACAGACCCACCCACUGACAUCAGCAGUCACCUGGCUUCUACCUCCAACAGCAAGUCAGCUAUACCAGCUCCAUAAUCCAAUCACCUUCCAAAUACAGGAGGCUUUGAGGUCCAUUUCAGAUCUAAACCAUCACUCCCUCUCUUUCAAAAAUUCAGUGAUAUCCAAGAAUUUGCCUUUAUUCACAAGUAGAUCUGUGGAUUGCAGCUUGAUAUCUUAUACUGUCUCCUGUGAAGAAGGGAUGAAAACAGAACCUGGUCCCUAAAAUAUUUCUACUCCCAAUGAGGACACUGCUAGCAGCCACUUGCCUCUUUAUUCUUCAGUGCCUUCAGAUAACUGUUUUUAACAUUUCAAGAAUUUUUUUACUGAUCUACAGAGGAGUCAUUUUAGUAAGCUCUUGAUCAUUCCCUGGAGACAUUUUAAAACUCUUCUGAACUUGCAUUUGAUGUCUAGUUUCUCCCAUAGGAACACUGAUAUUUGUCAAAGGAUAUAUUUUUGUUUGGAAAAUACAUCCUUAGGAAAAGACAGAUAUUUCUAUUUUGUGCCUUAGAAAAGCCUUUCUAUGUAUUUAAUCUUUCAGUAACUAUGGGUUGCAACUUAAUAUGCAUUAGAUAUUUUGCCAGAUCUGUGCAGAUAUGAUUGGGGGAAAGGGGUGGUACAGAAACAAAUUACAUGUAUAUUACAUUUUAAAGUAGUUUCC